GAUGAACGCUGGCGGCGUGCCUAAUACAUGCAAGUCGAGCGCACAGACGAGGAGCUUGCUCCUCUGACGUUAGCGGCGGACGGGUGAGUAACACGUGGAUAACCUACCUAUAAGCCUGGGAUAACUUCGGGAAACCGGAGCUAAUACCGGAUAAUAUAUUGAACCGCAUGGUUCAAUAGUGAAAGACGGUUUUGCUGUCCCCUAUAGUUGUCUCCGGGCCGAUUUAGUAAGUUGGUAAGUUAACGCCUUACCAAGCCAAGGUAGAGAGCCCGACCUGGGAGGGUAAUCGGCCACACUGGAACUGGGACACGGUCCAAACUCCUACGGGAGGCAGCAGUAGGGAAUCUUCCGAAAUGGGCGAAAGCCGGCCGGAGCAACGCCGCGUGGGGGAUGAGGGUCUUCGGAUCGUAAAACUCUGUUAUUAGGGAGGAACAAAUGUGUAAGUAACUAUGCACGUCUUGACGGUACCUAAUCAGAAAGCCACGGCUAACUACGUG
rnacentral:rRNA from 1 species